rnacentral:rRNA from 1 species
CGUAGGGUGCGAGCGUUAAUCGGAAUUACUGGGCGUAAAGCGUGCGCAGGCGGUUUUGUAAGACAGGCGUGAAAUCCCCGGGCUCAACCUGGGAACUGCGUUUGUGACUGCAAGGCUAGAGUAUGGCAGAGGGGGUGGAAUUCCACGUGUAGCAGUGAAAUGCGUAGAGAUGUGGAGGAACACCGAUGGCGAAGGCAGCCCCCUGGGCCAAUACUGACGCUCAUGCACGAAAGCGUGGGUAGCAAACAGGAUUAGAUACCCUGGUAGUCCACGCCCUAAACGAUGUCAACUAGGUGUUGGGUGGGUAUAACCAUUUAGUACCGGAGCUAACGCGUGAAGUUGACCGCCUGGGGAGUACGGCCGCAAGGUUA